ACUCACUCCAGUAUUCUUGCUGAUAAAAUCCCAUGGACAGAGGAGCCUGGUGGGCUACAGUGCAUGGGGUCACAAAGAAUCAGACACCGCUGAGCAACUGAGCAUAUACGCAUGCUGCUGCCGGCCUGGGCGGCCACACUUUGAGGACCACUCGUCAUCUAGGCUCCAGUUAAGAUCCCAGCUCCCUUCCUCCGCGUGGUUCCUCCAUCCAGAGCCCAGGAGGCUGGGAGGAUUUAGCAAUGCCUGUCCAGCCCUUUCUGGAUUCUCUACCUGAGACUGACUAAUUCACCAGCAGACUCUAGCCAAGUAUCAUAUCAUUGAGUUAAAUUGUAACUUGCUAUGUGGUACUUUUCUGGUUCAAUAAAGUGAAUUUAUAUGCCAACCAGCUUCUUCGUUUUUUAAUUAUUUUUCUCAUCCCCUUGAUAAUGUAGUGUAUUUGGAUGGGUUGCCCGGUCAUGAGAGUGAAUUAGUGGAAUCCCUCUUUAUAGGUUUUUGUUUGUUUGAGCUUUACAGAGGUGGUUUAAAUCACUGGAUGUCUGAAAUGCCUUCUCUGGCAAGUGCUUGGAUAAUGCUUCAUUAUAAGCAGGCUUAGCUGCUGAGACACAUAUAGAUUAGAACAAUUUGCCUCUCUGCUGAUGGAGAAACUGUGACAUUUUGGUGGCUCUGAUACAGAGCUGUUUUGUCAGAAUGGGAAAGCCUCUUACAUUUCUGUUCAGGUCUAAAUAAUUUAGCUUCCUGUGCCUGCAUGCUGGUAGGAACCUGGGGCAGGCAGCAACUAUGGUGGGGUCUGGAGGCUGGGAGGGAGCUGCUUGCUCACAGCAGGGUGACCAAUGCAACCUGCUUUGCCUUUGAGAAUCUGAUAGAAACUAUAAACAUGGAGGAAAAAUACAUAUGCAAUGACGUUAUGCAUAUGGGGUCAGGGACUUUGGCCCCCUGGUUAUGUUCACUCCAGGCUGUUUCAGGGCAUUCCAGGUAAUCCUAGAGUUACCCUAAUUCACCCAGGGAUGUUUAGAGACUGCAAAAACUUCUACUUUUGCUUUGAUGUUUUAAAGGAGGCUGCUGGGUAAAGGCAGAUCUAGCUAAAGGAGUGUCUUACUAAUGGUGGAAUUACAGGUCACCAAGAAGAGAUGGCUAUUUAACCUUGAUGAAAUUUAGGACACUGUUUUCUUUGCAGGAAUGGGGGUGGGAUCAGUGGGGAUAAGUAUCAGAAGAAAAGGGGGAAAAAGUCAUCAGUUGCCUAGCCUCUCUGCUUACCAUCAAGUCCAAUUAGUCCUCUUUCCAUUCAUCUCCCCGACAGGCAACACUAUAUGUUGUAUCCUUUAUAACAGAUGGAAACUUCUAGAAAGUUAACUACCUCCUUGGUUCUGCCUGGGAAAAUAAAAUGUUAUGUUUUCCAUAAACACAAGAUGAACAAAGCAUUCCAAGCCUGUUCCUGAAUUGGGUAUAUCAUCUUAAAGCGAAUUUGUCGCUUUUAGAAACCGUGAUCUCUGUGGCCUACAGACAAGGCAAUUUUCAAAUGAGGCAGGUCCUGGCAUCUGGGAAGACUAGCUGUUUCCUUUGUUGCUAGGGAAAUCAUUUCGAAAUGGAAAACACCCCGAGUCCCAACCCCCAACCAUCUCCAAAACAAUAUACAUUCUUUACAGUAAAAAAAUCAAAACAGCAGAACAAUAGACAACACAAAAUCCAACACAUUAUUGUACAUUGCGAAGGUUUUUUUCCCCAACUGAAGGGAUGAAAGGGCAUCAUAAUUUUGUUUUCAAAUGUGUUUAAGAACCUGUUAUUAAAACGGAAUUAAACUGGAGUCCCAGGGCAGCAGCUCUGAGACUACCGGGAGAUAAUCUUGAUAAUGCGAUUAGUGCCUGCUUGAAUGGGGCUGGGAGCGAAAGAGAAGGAUAGACGUGGAAGCUGGAGCUUUACUGAGCCACCGCCAGCAGCCGUGGCUGGAACACAGAUGCCUUAUUCUCCCUACGAUUGUGCGUUGGACCCUGCCAUCAGAGAGGUUGGAGGGCCUUAACGAUGGAAAAACUGAGGCACUGAGAAGCUGAGUGAGUCUUGAACCAAGGAGAAGGGAUGAUUCUCAACAUGAAAGUUCAGAGGCAGUGAGUAAAGGAUGAGAGGACGAGUCUCAUCUCUGUUGAUUCCAACUAGAAGAUCUCUCUAACCCUCCAUGGAUUGUCUGCUGAGGCCCCUGGAAUCUUUGACCAACUGAACAUUAUUACAGUUAAGAGCAGGGGCUGGCAAACUUUUUCUGUAAAGGUCUAGAUAAUAAAUAUUUUAGGCUUUGUGGGCUGUGUGAUGUCUAUUGCAACUCUGCAGCUCUAUUGUUGUAACAGGAAACCAGCCAUGGAGAAUAUGUAAAUGAAUGGGUUUAGCUGUGUUCCAAUAAAACUUUA